AGCCUUAUAGCUCAGUCAUUCGAGCAUGAGACUUUUAAUCUCAGGGUUGUGGGUUAGAGCCCACAUUGGGCAA